CUUCAGAAAUGGCAGAACAUUUCAUGGGAUGUAAUGAAGAGUUGGAACCAUGUCAGCAUAAAACAGAAGAAAUUAAAACUGAAGGGGAAGAUGAAGAUGAUGAGUUGAUAUUUGUGGGAGAGAUAUCAACUUCCAAACCUGACAUUUCAAAUAUUUUGAACAUACGUCUUCCCAGCUCAUCUAUAAAGGGAAGAAAGAGUGACUUACUCAAUCCAGCUAUUUCUAAUAUAUCCAAGACUACAAAUCAACAGUACAGAAAUCCAUCACCUAAUGCAGUGGUUGCUUUGCCAAGCUUUGAUCCUGAACCAAAAUCUUCAGAGGCUUCUGAUGAUCAGGCUAUGUCU